UAAUGAGAGUUUGAUCCUGGCUCAGGACGAACGCUGGCGGCGUGCCUAAUACAUGCAAGUAGAACGCUGAAGAGAGGAGCUUGCUCUUCUUGGAUGAGUUGCGAACGGGUGAGUAACGCGUAGGUAACCUGCCUUGUAGCGGGGGAUAACUAUUGGAAACGAUAGCUAAUACCGCAUAACAAUGGAUGACACAUGUCAUUUAUUUGAAAGGGGCAAUUGCUCCACUACAAGAUGGACCUGCGUUGUAUUAGCUAGUAGGUGAGGUAAUGGCUCACCUAGGCGACGAUACAUAGCCGACCUGAGAGGGUGAUCGGCCACACUGGGACUGAGACACGGCCCAGACUCCUACGGGAGGCAGCAGUAGGGAAUCUUCGGCAAUGGGGGCAACCCUGACCGAGCAACGCCGCGUGAGUGAAGAAGGUUUUCGGAUCGUAAAGCUCUGUUGUAAGUCAAGAACGGGUGUGAGAGUGGAAAGUUCACACUGUGACGGUAGCUUACCAGAAAGGGACGGCUAACUACGUGCCAGCAGCCGCGGUAAUACGUAGGUCCCGAGCGUUGUCCGGAUUUAUUGGGCGUAAAGCGAGCGCAGGCGGUUUGAUAAGUCUGAAGUUAAAGACUGUGGCUCAACCAUAGUUCGCUUUGGAAACUGUCAAACUUGAGUGCAGAAG
rnacentral:rRNA from 1 species